rnacentral:rRNA from 1 species
UACGUAGGGCGCAAGCGUUAUCCGGAAUUAUUGGGCGUAAAGAGCUCGUAGGCGGUUUGUCGCGUCUGCCGUGAAAGUCCGGGGCUCAACUCCGGAUCUGCGGUGGGUACGGGCAGACUAGAGUGAUGUAGGGGAGACUGGAAUUCCUGGUGUAGCGGUGGAAUGCGCAGAUAUCAGGAGGAACACCAAUGGCGAAGGCAGAUCUCUGGGCCGUAACUGACGCUGAGGCACGAAAGCGUGGGGAGCAAACAGG